rnacentral:rRNA from 1 species
AUUGAACGCUGGCGGCAUGCUUUACACAUGCAAGUCGAACGGUAACAGGCCGCAAGGUGCUGACGAGUGGCGAACGGGUGAGUAAUGCAUCGGAACGUACCCAGUCGUGGGGGAUAACGCAGCGAAAGCUGCGCUAAUACCGCAUACGAUCUAUGGAUGAAAGCGGGGGACCGUAAGGCCUCGCGCGAUUGGAGCGGCCGAUGUCAGAUUAGGUAGUUGGUGGGGUAAAGGCUCACCAAGCCAACGAUCUGUAGCUGGUCUGAGAGGACGACCAGCCACACUGGGACUGAGACACGGCCCAGACUCCUACGGGAGGCAGCAGUGGGGAAUUUUGGACGAUGGGCGCAAGCCUGAUCCAGCAAUGCCGCGUGCAGGAAGAAGGCCUUCGGGUUGUAAACUGCUUUUGUACGGAACGAAACGGUCCUGGUUAAUACCUGGGGCUAAUGACGGUACCGUAAGAAUAAGCACCGGCUAACUACGUGCCAGCCGCCGCCGUAAUAC